rnacentral:rRNA from 1 species
CCAUUUGAUUAGCCCAAGUGAGAUUAGCUAGUUGGUAAGGUAAUGGCUUACCAAGGCGNCGAUCUCUAGCUGGUUUGAGAGGAUGAUCAGCCACACUGGGACUGAGACACGGCCCAGACUCCUACGGGAGGCAGCAGUGGGGNAUAUUGCACAAUGGGGGNAACCCUGAUGCAGCCAUGCNGCGUGUGUGAAGAAGGCCUUCGGGUUGUAAAGCACUUUCAGUUGUGAGGAAAGGUGUGUAGUUAAUAGCUGCAUACUGUGACGUUAACAACAGAAGAAGCACCGC